rnacentral:lncRNA from 1 species
CGCGAAAAGUUCGUGAGGUGUAGUCGCGGCAACCAGGAGGUGCACCCACCACUAGAAUUUGAACAUCCUAAGAACAGGUAUUUUUGUCUCUGCUUUGCUGAUGUAUCCUCAGCAACCGGAACUGCCUGACAUCUGAUCCUUUCUGUGAGACACCAGGCUGUUGAGGAAGAAUCUAUGGCAACAUUGUAUCUAUUAAUAUACAGCUUCUGUAUUUAUCAGGCCCAGUUCUGGUGAUGAUUUCACUUUUGACAGAAGCUGUCCCUCAAAAGCAAACAUGCAAUAGAAGAAACAGAUCUCAAUGCCAUCCAUCUGCAGUUGUGACAAGCAAAAAAGUCUCCAGACAUGGCCAAAUGUCCCCUGGGGGGCAAAAUCACCCCCAAUUGAGAACUACUGCUCUAAACUUGAUGUUCAUAUCAGCAGUACAGCGCUGGACUUCCUAGUGAAGAAAACAGCAAGAUUAUAGACACAGUUUAGAAACAAAGGAACACCAUAUACAUUUAAAGGCAUAAAGUAUUUACUCACUCCCUGGCCACAGCCACCGUUACCUUCUCAAUCCCAACUUCGGAUAUAAUUAUUGAUAUAUUUAUAACGAGUUUAUGAAGAAUGUGAAAAAGAUCUGACCACCCUAGCUAUGGACUGAAGUUGGAGCCUCUUUUCUAAUAUAAUGCAAUUGACCAAGACUGCUUGGGAGCAGCUGUCAGUAUUGUUUAAAGCUGUCAUUCAAUAUGGCCAAACUCUUUGUUAUCUAAAACCCCUUGUCUGAUCUGUUGCCUCUGUUUCACUUUUCCAAUUAGAUGAAUGACAGAAACAAAAAAUCGUAAUAAAUAUUGUCAAAUCUGAUUUUAUUAGAACCCAUGGGGUUUGCCUGAGGCCUUCUGAUUUUGUCAUGUAGAUAAUAAUGUCAUCUGUAAUUCCUUGCAGUACUGCCUGGCUCAUUUAGAUGCUGAUAAUAUCAUCUGAUCUGGGAGUGGCUUUUCUCUAUCAGAACUGCCAUUUCAAAGUUAACAGGAUUUUAGUGUGUUAAAAACCCUUUAAAGAGACACUGGCCAAUGGAGUAUGCAUUGUAAAUUUACCUAUUCAGAACUUGAUAAAUAGUUUAAGCUUG